GACGAACGCUGGCGGCGUGCUUAACACAUGCAAGUCGAACGGAAAGGCCCCUUUGGGGGUACUCGAGUGGCGAACGGGUGAGUAACACGUGAGUAACCUGCCCUUGACUUCGGGAUAACUUCAGGAAACUGGGGCUAAUACCGGAUAGGAAUCCUUGCUGCAUGGUGGGGGUUGGAAAGCUUCGGGGGUUUUGGAUGGACUCGCGGCUGAUCAGCUUGUUGGUGGGGUAGUGGCUUACCAAGGCUUUGACGGGUAGCCGGCCUGGGAGGGCGACCGGCCACAUUGGGACUGGGAUACGGCCCAGACUCCUACGGGAGGCAGCAGUGGGGAAUAUUGCACAAUGGGCGGAAGCCUGAUGCAGCAACGCCGCGUGCGGGAUGACGGCCUUCGGGUUGUAAACCGCUUUCAGCAGGGGCGAAGCUUGUGGUGACGGUACCUGCAGAAGAAGCACCGGCUAACUACGUG
rnacentral:rRNA from 1 species